rnacentral:rRNA from 1 species
AUCCUCAGUAUAGCGCUGAGCAUGCCUCAUCACUCCUAUCUGGUCUCAGAGAUGAGGCAGGUUCAGGCCUGGUCUAUACUUGGAUGAAAGACCACCUGGAAAUACCAGGNACUGUAGACU